CGUUUCUUCUGCACCUGAAACCAGAACAAUAUUAUGUAUUUUCACACAUUACAACGUUUAAAAUAUUACCACGCUGUAACAGAUGGUUUUCAGUUGAACAAUAGGAAAAAGUUUGAACGAUGUCCGUUACGAAACAGAAAUCGAGUUUCUCCAUCAGCCUGUUCAUACUACUGGACACGUUCGCGGUGACGUUUGAAAGUGUGAUUGUAAUGUUUUCGAACCUGUAAACGUGCUUACAUGUUUAUUACUCCUUUACGCAUCGCUGACGACGACAGUUGCAACGUUUACAUGCACGGCGUGCAUAAAUCUAUCGUCAAGUAAUUGAUGUCUUACUCGAGCUCGACUGUGUUGUUCUUUACGAUGCAUUCAUAGCUCGAUGGUACAUGCACGAUUCAAUUCAUGAACAACGCACAUUCGUCUAGAAGAAACAUUCCUUACUUGUUCAUUUUUGUACAGCAAUAUAUAUAAUAUAUUUCUGUAUAUAUAUAUAUAUAUAUAUAUAUAUAUAUAUAUAUAUAUAAUAGUAUCCAUCGAAAUUUCAUGAUGAUAACGAAGGAACGUGAUCGUAAUUAUAAUUUGUGAUCAAAUAUCAUAAAAGGUUACGCGAGAUUUCAAUACAUAGGUGCAGACAAAGACAAAACUAAAUGAUCAGAUAGUGGAUCCAGGUAUCAAUGACGUUUAAUCAAACUGGAACUAGUAUUAUCUACUUAAGUUCUAUUUGUUAUAUAUCCUUGUAGUACACGUGUAGAUUACUUAAUAUGUAAUCGAAAUUAGUAUCAGUAUAGCAUUAGUUGUUGUAUGAACCGGCCGUAUUUAACGGAGCUUUAUUGAUAUUUGUUUCCACUACCUGCUCAAUUAUUUCUCUACCCGACUGUUACUUGUUUGUUUAAGUUCCAUAUAACGUAACCAGAUAAUAAAAUAAUGAUAUAAAUAAUAAUAUAUUAUAAUAUGAAUUAUAAAUUAACGAUAUAAAAACUAUAAUAAAAAAAAAAGAAAAACAGGUAAAACUAGAACCGUUGGAUACAAAAAUCGUAAAGUUCGAACGAGUUUCCAGCGAUCCAGCAGACACGCGUUGACCGGUCGAUAAAUAUCCGACUUUAGAGCAAAUUUGCGGCGUCUAGUUAUCUCUGGGUGUGAAAAACUAAUCUCGAAAGAUUCUUCUUCAACAGGACGCCAACCAAAGGAAUGGAUAAGAGAUCGUGCAUCCGGCGAGGGUUCCGGUUACACUGGUGCCGAGAGCAGAAAUUAAGUUUGGGGUUUUAUAGAGCUGCAUGGCAUUCCUGAAACGCGAAACGAUACGUUCGAUGUUGAUUCGAGUGACAAAAUGAAAAAAAGUCAAGGGAGCGGAACGGCGCCGACCGGCGAUCAGACAACGCAGACGUUGAACUUCGCAUUACGGGAGAAUCGGGGCGCCAGGAGUAAAUUCCGAGAUUCAGUGGCCCUCGUGAGAUCGCGUGACAGUUAUUUAACUGGGACCCGCUAAGCGAGUAUGUCGGUGUAUUUUUUAUCGUCCAGAGAUACAUUUAGGUGCCUGCCGACGCAUACCUCUAGUACUUCUGAUAAGUUUCUACGACAUUGCGAGAUACAAUGUAACAAAAAGUUUUUCAGCGAUCUGGAAACAUGAAGAACGAUAAUGAUAAGGCCGAUAGUAAAAAACGGAGCAACUAUUUUUCCAUCGGUAAGCUCUCGAGGUAUUCAAUUAUGUUAUAGAUAACGAGGCGUAAAUCUAUAUAGCUUUCACAGCAACUAAAUAUAAAUCUUCGCGAUUUCGACGGACUCUGUAUCUUCUUCUUUUUACUUUUACUUAUACAAAUAUAAAGACAUUCCGCUUUUUUUGUCUCCUUAAGGAAGUUUUGAAUACAUCCUUCGACGUUGGACACUGUACAAAUAUAGCUGUGCGACGACGUGACCAAAAAUACCGUGCGACUGCGCUAAUAUCGCAACCAAACGGUCAAAAAGUGUGUAUAACGUGAGUACCCAUAUACGAUGUCAUGAGAACGUCUUUGCGAGACACAGACAGAUCAAUCCUGAUGAUCGUCUCGAUUAAAAAACGUCCCGCUAUUCGCACGAGCUGGCGUGGUCCACCCACCUACGAUUUUCUCGCACCGUGGUAGUCAUUCAUUAUUUCGACAUUAUUCUAUAGGUAAUAAUAGAAACAAGACAAACGUUCUCGCCUGAUCGGACAGGAAGUCGGUAUCGAUUAGUGCGUGGAGUCUCCUGCGUGGGUGGUUCUUCGAGCGUUCUCACUUCCAACAAAUCUUUUGAUCUAUGCCGCUUCCUAUGAAAAUGAACGAACCACCUCUAACACCUCUUAAUAUGCUGUUAAACCUAUUUUCAUGAAAAGCUAGAAAUGUAUCAAGUUGUAACGUAAUUAAGUUCGAUUGAACGCAAUAUUCUUCCCCAUUUAACUGAACGUACAUACGUUACAACGUACUAUCUACAUCUGAGUGGCUAAUUACAUUAACAAGUUCUAUUUUGACAGGCAAAUCCAACAAACGUAUGUGUCGGGCAUAAAUAGACGUAGUAACACUGGAAAAUAAAACUAAUAAGUAGACAGUGUACACUAGUCCGGUGUAUGACUUUAGGUAAAGAAACGAUGUCUCGUGUGAUUCACGCGACGUGUCUGCCUGGUCGCUCACAACGAAGCCCGUGACCUAUCAAUAGCUCCUCAUAUACACUGAAGAGGGACUGUCAUUCCACCGAAGACUAAAAAUAGAGUUCGCGCGUCCGUCCAUAAGUCGCUGGGUCCGAGCAGUUCUGUACCAAUGCUCUUUCUCUCUCUUUCUCGAUCACACUUUAUCUUUUCUCUUCGUCUACCCUUUCGUCCCAGCCUGAUCUUCGUUCCUUUUUCUUUUCUACGCCAGUAUUUAUAGCAGUUCCUCGUGAAAUUUUUUCCUCGCUCCUCACUGUUGAUACUUCAAUCGGCGAAUAUUGUUAACAUUUAUACUUCGAUUCCAAAAAAUGCUAUUUUCUUUCAGUUGGCAAUGUUUGGAAUGUUUUAAGGUGAACUAAAAAGAACGAAAGGCGGACGGGAUGUUAUAGGCAAACACGGUAAGAACGGUUACCAGUCAAGGACAGAGUUUACGAAGAUUGGCUAAAUUAAACUCCAUUAGGACAGUCGUGACCGUUCUGCCCGGACGACAAAUGCAUGCGCGACAGAACCCGUUACUAUGAUAGAGAUCAUUAGUUGAACCGCACAGAGCGAGGGCUUUGAAUCGCUUUAUGAUUGACCCCAAAUUUAUAUCCACAUCCUUAACCUACAAACAACUGUAUGCGCGGGUCAAGUUAUUAACCCAAUGUUAUUAACCUCGCCUGUGACUUCGUCAAUCUAACUUUCGGAUCCCAUGAAAAUUAUUUAUCGUCCCCGUGGCUAAUAUCCUGCCGAUGAAUGACAUAAGUAUACCCAAUGUAAACAGCAUGACUCGAUUCUAAAGUGCGGAAUAUCUAAUCGACCAUUAGUGAUCGUUCAUUCAUGAAAUGUAAAUGAAAAUCAAUAUGUCAGUGUUUUUUAACGUAUAUUCCUUCUAGCAUCUUAAUCAUUUAGUAUACGAUGACUAGUUUUUUUUUUAUUUCCGUUAAUUCGUAACUACGUAUAUAAUAAACUAUUAUGUACCGCCUUAAAUCACGUAAUUCAGAUGUCGUGUCUGGCGCGCGUGCUAGCUACGUAUCUGAUUAUUCGUCUUACCGGAUGAAAACUAGUGAACCAAAUGGAAUUUUAAAAACGAUAAGUAAUUUAUUUAGUGCGCACAUAUAAGUAGCUUUUGUAUCAGAUAUUUUUCAAUAUGUUCAUCCAUUCUAAAAUAUAUAUGUAUUAUAUAUAUUCACUAUACUUGCUAAAUACAAUUCUGUUUUGUAAAAUGAUGCUACUGUGUCUCUAUCUUUCGGACAUAAUGUG